rnacentral:tRNA from 2 species
GCGCUCUUAGUUCAGUUCGGUAGAACAUUUUUUUUCGAAAACCCAAUGUCGAAGGUUCAAAUCCUACAGAGCGUG